AGUGAACGCUGGCGGUAGGCCUAACACAUGCAAGUCGAACGGCAGCACACUAAGAGCUUGCUCUUACGGGUGGCGAGUGGCGGACUGGUGCGGAAUACACCGGAAUCUACUUUUUCGUGGGGGAUAACGUUAGGAAACUUACGCUAAUACCGCAUACGACCUACGGGUGAAAGCAGGGGAUCUUCGGACCUUGCCCGCUUGAGUGAGCCGAUGUCGGAUUAGCUAGUUGGCGGGGUAAAGGCCCACCAAGGCGACGAUCCGUAGCUGGUCUGAGAGGAUGAUCAGCCACACUGGAACUGAGACACGGUCCAGACUCCUACGGGAGGCAGCAGUGGGGAAUAUUGGACAAUGGGCGCAAGCCUGAUCCAGCAAUACCGCGUGGGGGAAGAAGGCCUUCGGGUUGUAAAGCCCUUUUGUUGGGAAAGAAAAGCAGCAGGUUAAUACCCCGCUGUUCUGACGGUACCCAAAGAAUAAGCACCGGCUAACUUCGUG
rnacentral:rRNA from 1 species